UACAGAGGGGGCAAGCGUUGUUCGGAAUUACUGGGCGUAAAGGGCGCGUAGGCGGCCCGCUAAGUCGAACGUGAAAUCCCCAGGCUCAACCUGGGAACUGCGUCCGAUACUGGCAGGCUUGAAUCCGGGAGAGGGAUGUGGAAUUCCAGGUGUAGCGGUGAAAUGCGCAGAUAUCAGGAAGAACACCGAUGGCGAAGGCAGCUCUCUGGGACGGUACUGACGCUGAGACGCGAAAGCGUGGGGAGCAAACAGG
rnacentral:rRNA from 1 species